UACGUAGGUGACAAGCGUUGUCCGGAUUUACUGGGCGUAAAGAGCGCGCAGGCGGUCGUUCAAGUCGAGUGUGAAAGCCCCCGGCUCAACUGGGGAGGGUCAUUCGAUACUGAUCGACUCGAAGGCAGGAGAGGGAAGUGGAAUUCCCGGUGUAGUGGUGAAAUGCGUAGAUAUCGGGAGGAACACCAGUGGCGAAGGCGGCUUUCUGGUCCUUAACUGACGCUGAGGCGCGAAAGCAUGGGGAGCGAACGGG
rnacentral:rRNA from 1 species